rnacentral:rRNA from 1 species
AACGAACGCUGGCGGCACGUUUUAAGCAUGCAAGUCGAAUGGCAGCAGGGGCAACUCUGUGAGAAUGGCGAACGGGUGAGUAACACGUAGGUGAUCUGCCUUGAGGAUGGGGAUAGCCUGUGGAAACACAGGGUAAUACCGAAUGAGCUGACGAGACUUUGGUUUUGUUAGUAAAGGUGCUACGGCACCGCCUUGAGAGGAGCCUGCGGCUGAUUAGCUAGUUGGUGGGGUAAGAGCUUACCAAGGCGACGAUCAGUAGCCGGCCUGAGAGGGUGUACGGCCACACUGGAACUGGGAGACGGUCCAGACUCCUACGGGAGGCAGCAGCUAAGAAUCUUCCGCAAUGGGCGAAAGCCUGACGGAGCGAUGCCGCGUGAUCGAUGAAGGUCGAGAGAGUGUAAAGAUCUUUUCUACAUGAGGAAUAAGUCUGGGAGGGAAUGCCCGGAUGAUGACGUUAGUGUAGGAAUAAGCCCCGGCUAAUUACGUGCCAGCCGCCGCAGUAA